UCCAGUACCACGUGUCAGGGCCACAUGAGCUGGGCCUCGUGGGCCUGAUGUGGUGCUGGGGC
rnacentral:pre_miRNA from 2 species